UACGGAGGGUGCAAGCGUUAUCCGGAUUCACUGGGUUUAAAGGGUGUGUAGGCGGGUAUUUAAGUCAGUGGUGAAAUCUCCAGGCUCAACCUGGAAACUGCCAUUGAUACUAUUUAUCUUGAAUUUUGUUGAGGUAGGCGGAAUAUGUCAUGUAGCGGUGAAAUGCUUAGAUAUGACAUAGAACACCGAUUGCGAAGGCAGCUUACUAAGCAAACAUUGACGCUGAGGCACGAAAGCGUGGGGAUCAAACAGG
rnacentral:rRNA from 1 species